rnacentral:rRNA from 1 species
AUUGAACGCUGGCGGCAGGCCUAACACAUGCAAGUCGAACGGUAACAGGAAGAAGCUUGCUUCUUUGCUGACGAGUGGCGGACGGGUGAGUCAUGUCUGGGAAACUGCCUGAUGGAGGGGGAUAACUACUGGAAACGGUAGCUAAUACCGCAUAAUGUCGCAAGACCAAAGAGGGGGAUCUUCGGGCCUCUUGCCAUCGGCUGUGCCCAGAUGGGAUUAGCUAGUAGGUGGGGUAACGGCUCACCUAGGCGACGAUCCCUAGCUGGUCUGAGAGGAUGACCAGCCACACUGGAACUAAGACACGGUCCAGACUCCUACGGGAGGCAGCAGUGGGGAAUAUUGCACAAAGGGCGCAAGCCUGAUGCAGCUAUGCCGCGUGUAUGAAGAAGGCCUUCGGGUUGUAAAGUACUUUCAGCGGGGAGGAAGGGAGUAAAGUUAAUACCUUUGCUCAUUGACGUUACCCGCAGAAGAAGCACCGGCUAACUCCGUG